UACAGGUGUACAGGUGUAUAGAUGUAUAGAUGUAUAGAUGUACAGGUGUAUAGAUGUAUAGAUGUAUAGAUGUACAGGUGUACAGAUGUAUAGAUGUAUAGAUGUACAGGUGUAUAGAUGUACAGGUGUUUGGUCCUAGAGGAACCCAGAGCUCCUGACCCACCAUUAGAAACAGAGGAGGACAGGAAGUAAACCUAGAUCCUGCUCAGGUGAAGUUUCCUGGACUCCAGGGGGGAAAGGUCAACAAAGGAAACUGACUAUGAACCUUUAUCCUAAAUGUACCGACUCUUAAAGGGGCAGUACGCCCGGUAAGGCUCUAUAAACUGAAAAACAAAGAACGUGGUGCAGACCUCACCUCACCACAUCUCUCCCCGACGCCUGCAGACACGUGCUCGUCACAGACGCUACGACUCAGAGAAUCAACAGUUUCAUCUUUCAUAGAAUCAGAUCGUGUCCAGUUGGACAUGACAUUCGUUUUGAGGACACUUUUGUCCAAAGCGACUUUCAAUCAUUCAUUUUUUGGACUCAUAUCAGAGGUAUGCCGGCAGCAUUAAGGGAUUUUAGCCGCACCCUGCUCGGGAAUCAAACCCUCGACCUUCCGUCAGCGGUGUAACACCACUAAACUACACCAGCUGCCUCCUACUGGACCUGGUGCGGGCCCAGAAACUGUCACACAGGAUGAUGAUGUUCACAUUGUCACUGAUUUUCCAGACAUCAUGGAUCAUAUUAUCAUAUUAGACCCUUCAUAUCAGAGCUGUUCCACGAGGAAGUGGUUGGUGAGUGUGUUUUAAAUACCUGGAGGACGAGAUGGCAAAGUCUCCCCCGUCCACCAGCCGGAUCUUACAGAACAGAACCCCGUUGACGAACGGCACGGCGGUGAGCUCCUCCAGCGUGAAGUGCACCUGGAACUUGAACUUCUUCUUCUUGAAGCUGCCACGCAAACAUCCAAACGCUCCGUGACUCAACUGAGCCUCGAGCUGUCUCCGAACCCUCAGACCCACCGUCCCGUCCCGUCCCGGCCCGUCCCGUCCCGGCCCGUCCCGUCCGGUCCCACGGAGCCGCCGGAGGAGGAGGAGGAGGAGGAGGAGUCCCGGUUCUCGACCGCUGCUCCGCUUCAACACAUCUUCUGCACCAACUUCUCCCUGUUCACCGGAGUUAUGGAGAUUCAGUCCGCGCGGGUCCCUGAACGCCUCACAGCCUAGGGACCGUCCACAAAGUGUUGAGCGGAGGCGAACGAAGAGGAGAAAACGAGGGGAACCGAAAAAUAUAUAAAACACCAAUAUUACUGUUUCUCAUAAUAAUAAUAAUAAUAAUAAUUAAAACAAUUAACUCCGAAUCAGAAAUAAUCUCAGCAUCAGAAAUAAUCUCCAUCCACACCAGAAAACACUUGUCACAUGAUCAUUCACGUACACUGGUCAUGUGGUGUAAACAGGAAGUAGAUUGUUGCUUAGACACAGAAACUCCUCUGAAGGAGGAACAGCGAUGGUGAGAAGUCAGAGCAGGAACUGUUGCUGACAGGAAAUGUCAGCGACGUCGAGUCGUCACGUCCAGCGGAUAGCGAGCGAACGUUAGCGCUCACUAGCGGUCGUGUCGUGGCCCCCUGGUGGUGAACGGCCUCACCAGCAGCUGCUCUGUAAAAGUGACUGAGGUUCGGUUCUGACCCGUAAACGUUGUGACGACCACGAGGAGACGGAACAACGUUCUUCACUUGUAAACGUUAAUUAUAGUUGAUGCAUUUCAAGUUAAGAGAUUUACAGAUUUGAUUUUCACCAAUUUUAAUAUUCCUUAAUUGUCAUUUUGCUCUUUUAAAUGAUUAUUACUUCCUGUUCUUGUGGCCACAGACAAUUUGAGUUACGGGAAUGUUUUGUCGGAUCUCUAUCUGGGAAUUUUAUUUUCUGUAUUUUUACAGUGUAAAUCUAAUCUAAUCUAAGUAAACAAAAUCCACACA